CUGCAGUCAAGCCAUGCUUGUUGUUCCAUGAGGGGAAAAAAAUUGGUUCUUUUUCUUGGGUUUCACUUCUUUCCAUCCUCAUGAUAGUGUGAGGAGAGAGGGGUGGGGUGAAAUGAUUUGUUUGUUCAUUUUCUUGGUGGGUUUUUUGCCUUUAGCACAUUUUUAGUGAAUUCUUUGCUUUUCCCUAUGAUUUAAAAAAAUGGGGUUUUAAGAAAUUACUUGUACUUUUGCAGAAAGCAAUGAUUUUUAGCUCAUUUGUCUAUAUGGGGUUUCUUGUUUCUUUGUGGUUAGGAGAAUUUUGAAGAAUAUUGAGGAGUAUUUUUUUUGUUGUUGUGGUGAUGGGUGAGAAGAUGCAAAGCCACCAUAUGUUGAGUGUGAAGGGGAGUGAGCAAUUUAACUCAAAGAGAAAGCAUAGAUUUGUUCCUUCACAGGGUUAUCUUCCAAAGCUUUUUGCUUUAUGGAUUAUCUGGUGUACAUUUUUUAGCAUUGCUUUGUACUUUUAUAUGGAUGCUAAUCAUAAGGAGAAAAGAAAAGAAGGGCUUGUGAGUAUGUGUGAUCAAAGGG
rnacentral:misc_RNA from 1 species